rnacentral:lncRNA from 1 species
AAAAGGGCCACAAGCUAGAUGCUGCAGCUGCCUUGGGCCGGGCAAGGGCAGAACUGCCGCAGAGACAUCUGCAGAAAGUGCCGAGCUGCAAAAGGCCCCCAGAGCUCCAAGGAAGGCUUGGAAAAAAAUCCACCAUGACAAAGUGAGAUAUUCAGUAUGUCUGCUGCAGCUUGUGGUAGUGGGUAUAUGGUAUUUUCCAACAAAUUCUUGUCACACUUUGAAGGAAUCAAUCCACAAACCUCUAUGGCAUGGAGAAGCUGGCAGCCCUUGUUUUGAGGUCGUGGGGCAAGAGACACGAAGAAGCAGGUCCCUGAGCAGUACCAGUCCCAGCUGCACAUAUUUAGGCUUCUGGGCUAAGCUCUGGGUCCUGAGUGGUGGGGGUGGAUUAGGGCUUGCGUUUUUUACAUAGAUUUUUUUUUUUGUACUCUUGUGAUAUGUGGGAUACUAAAGUGCACGUCCCAGGGCUGGGCCUAGAUCUUGCCUAGAUCUGAGGUUGGUACUGGGUGCAUGAAAAACUCCUGUGAUUAUUAUUAUUAUUAUUAUCAUUAUUAUAUUUGAGACAGAGUCUCAUUCUGUCACCCAGGCUGGAGUGCAGUGGUGCGAUCUCGGCUCACUGCAGUCUCCGCCUCCUGGGUUCAAGUGAUUCUCCUGCCUCAGCCUCCUGAGUAGCUGGGACUACAAGCGUGCGUCACCAUGCCCAGCUAAAUUUUUGUAUUUUUAGUAGAGACGGAGUUUCACCAUGUUAGUCAGGAUGGUCUCGAUCUCCUGACUUUGUGAUCCACCCGCCUUGGCCUCCCAAAGUGCUGGGAUUACAGGCGUGAGCCACCGCACCUGUUCACUCCUGUGAUUAUUGAAGAAUCACCAACGGUGGAGACCUCCUCUGUGAAGGAGGGCCCGUGGCACCUCGGCCACAGCUCUAAAAUAGGGCUCAAGGCAUGACAUUGAAACUACUUGUUGCUCCUACUUGAUUUUACUUGAUUUUACUUGAUGAGUCCUCUCUACUGACACCAUGGGUUGCUGUGGUUGUGGAGGUUGUGGUGGCUGUGGUGGCUGCGGUGGUGGCUGUGGUGGUGGCUGUGGCA